UGUUCCAACACUGGAGGCUUUUAAGAAGAGACUGGACAACCAUUUGCCUUGAAUGGUAUAGGGGCUUCCUGCUUGGACAGUGGGUUG